AGCACACAGACAGCCUCUUUUGUCACUGUAAGGGAUACCUGGGUGCCAGGCUCUCACCAGCAAAGUGUGACCUUGAGUGUCUGCUACUUAACCCUCAUCAAAAGGCAGAUUGCAGGCAGAGCAUUUGGAGAUGUGAUCUGAAAGUUUUAGAGGGAACAAACAAGGCCAGCAGCCUGAGAACAAGCCACCCAGUCUCAGAGACAACUGUGGAUCUCAUACGUGGGUGGCUUUGCUAACUAUGCAACUGGGCAUCAGACUCAAGGAAAUGAUGGAGGGAAGGAGCAGAGUGACCACAGCCUCCAUCCGCAAAACAUGGACGUUGGGACUGUCUAAGACCCAUUAUGGGUUAAAAGCAACAAUGAGACAUGUCUGCUCCUGCAGCACCAAUCUACUUCAGAAAAGAUGAUGGGCGUCGAAAAAACUCCUUACCUUCAUUGUGGCAAAAGUUAGCCACUGGGCAAGAAAGUGACCUUUCCUCAACUGCUGACAGUAUGCUGUCCAAAAUGGAAAAGUAGGACACAAAAGAAAGGACUGCUGAUCCUUGCCAAGACAAGGAGAAACCUCUCCCCCUCAAGCCUCCUAGAUGUACCUGAAUCCCAAGGAGAGGAGAGCUGAGCCUCAGGAGAAGAGCCGCUUUCACUAUGACUAAAAUUGAGAUAGAAGAAUCUUGAUGAACAAUGGUCAGAUGUCAGUCACAACAGCUGUAAUGUCACCACAGGAAAAUGCCUGCUAAUAAAUGUCCAUAAGCCCGGCUGCCUAACAGUUCUCGAUGUGAGUCUGGUCUGCUUCCUUGGACUAAGAUGGCUCUGGAUGCAAAUGUGAGAAGUCCCGAUAAGGAUUUUACAUAUUCCUCCUUUCCAUUGCUUCUUUCAUUUCACGAGUGCCUGCCACAAAUUCAGGCUCUAAAAAGUUCAGCCCAGUGUUUGCUGUGAUGAGGUGAGAACAGAAGGCCACCACUAGUGGCCACAUUCACAGAAGUGGUUGCAUGACCGCAAGGUUGUAUAACCUAGUGAGGUCAUUUUAGAGAACAAUAGGAACUCAACAGAUAAAUUAAUUUAUUCAUUUUUAAAUGCUAGAUAAACCUCUAUGGUGUGCCAAAUACUAUUCCAUAUCUGAGGAAUACAGAUGUGAAUGAAUCAAAUAUGAACAAUUGUGUUACUUACACUCUUCAGUGUAAAUGAAAACUUUGUUUUUAGACAGCGUUAAGUGCAUAGGGUAGAACCUCCACGGGGCCAAGCCAUGUGCUGGUGCUGAGCCAUGUGCUGGUGCUGAGCCAUGUGCUGGUAGGGAAUGACUUUUGUCAGGGAAACCUUCCUGUAGCAUGACACAGAAAGAAGAAGACAGGAUCGGUUUCUUCAAAGGUCAUCCCCUAAUUUAUGAAUGUGGGGACACUGGAAAUAGGCAGUCACAAGAAAAUAGCUAAGGGCCAGCUAGAUGGCUCCAUGGGUAGAGUUGCUGGUCCUCGAGCUUUGUGACGUGAGUCUGAUCCCCAGGACACACAUGAUGGGAGAAGAGAACUGAUUGUCCUCUGCCACAGAUGUACACACACACACACACACACACACACACACACACGCACACGCACACGCACAUGCACACGCGCACAUGCACAUGCACAUGCACACACAGGCACAUGCACAGGCACACACACAUGAUUUAAAAAAGAGGAAAAGGUUCCCACCACAACACAUCCUUAACCAAGAAGAAAGCUGUAACGCUGUGUUUAUGAUUCAAUGUUUCCUUGCCAAGUUUUCUGACAUGUAAAUGAAUUGCAGGGCAAACAGUUUUGGUUUCCCCAUCCUCUCCCAGGCCCUUGGUUCUCAGGGAACUCAAGGCCAAUAACGUCACCUCCUAAAAUUAAUGCUCAUAUCCAUUCAGUGUGGGGGAGGGAGAAUAAACUCAUAUAUAAUAACCAGACAAGAUUACUUUAAAAAGAGGUGUGUUCCAUUAUUCUGUACUCUCCAGCUGUGGCUGGUGGCUUUCAGAUCAGAAAAGAAAUGACUGACUGCUGUUUUUCUAGAUUGAGUGUAGGACAAAGAAAAAUCAGAGUUGAUGACGUUUAGCUGAGUUUAGCAGCCUGCCCACCCACCCAGCAUGAUCUAGGUUUUUUUUUAAGGAGCGUAAAUGGAGGGAUACACAUGCACACACCUCUGCUACUGGAAAUGACAAUAUAAACAAUAAACAUUGAAUGUUUUUUAAUGUGAAUGAAGUCACAGUAAAGACAAGCGAUGGAGAAAAUGGAAGAGAAAGUUCUUAGUGUCUCCCUUUUGAACUACGGUAACAACACAAACAAGGCAUCAUCAAUAUAGAUAGCCAGAAAGGACGAGUAUUACUUUAAAAAUCAUACUUAAUUUUAAAACUGGAAAAAGACACUGAGAAAACUUCAAGGAUGAGGCUUGACAGACAUGGAAGGGAGAGAAGAGAGUGGAGGCAACAGUAAUCAGAAGGCAAUUGUCAAAGAACACAUUUUAUAAAUGAUUGAAAAAGACACUCAGACAUUUCUGCUUUAACAGUAACUUUAUUUCCGUCAAGUGUUUUAUGAAUCUUUGCUUAAGUGUGUAUGUAUUUAAAGCAUAGCUAUCAUAUUGUACAUACUAUUUCAGACAGUUAUUGCAAGAAUAAUGCAAAAUCUUUAUUGAUCAUGAUGGGAAGAGCUUGAUAGAGCGUAUUUACUGUCGUUGUAUUUUUUUGAGUUUUACUGAUUAAAGCCUUCUACACUGAACGGAGACAAGAAGAAAGGGAGGAAAUAGAAGAUAGGACUCGGGUCCUUUGGCAAGUUGUGCUGCCCAGGGCAUCUCUAGCAGGUAGUUGUAAAGGCUGUCAGUGUUGGCAAAAUGUCUUCUCUGUCCCCUGCCUUCUAGGUGGGUUCAGAUGUCCUUUCCUCUUCACAGGCUUCUCAUUGGUUCUGGCUGAUGAUUUUUCGGGUGGCAUAAUCACUUUUGAGGACAACCUAUUUGGUUGUCAGUACUAUGCCUUCCAGAACUGCUCUUCCCUUUGGGCGGGGAGGGAGGGUUGCAUCAUUCCUGGCGGUGGCAUCACUGACAUACUGGAUCCUAUGAUAUGGAGCCUGCAGGUUUCAUGAUGAGUUUGGUUGUGUGAGUGGAAAGUAAAACUUUCUUCUUCAUUAAAAGUGAGUCUUUGUUUAUUGCUGUCACAUAACAUAGCCCAUUCUAAAAUAGAAAUUGGUAAGAAAAAGUGGAGGAUUGCCACAAAAAUUAUAAAAUAUAUAGCUUUGGCUUGGAGAUAGGUAGCAUGUUUUAAGAUAGAGGGAAAGCUGGCACUCCACAUUAAGCAAUGGGCAAGCACUUGGUAAGACUAUCAUCUAUAGUUGGUGGUGUGCUGGACCUGGCAUACAUCCAAGAGAACUAACAGAAUCUCUGUCCAACUCUGAAUUUUGUUAUGUCAGCAUGGUAACUUGGAUCUGCCAUAGCAGGAGAAAUUAUACCGAUGAAAUUUGGAAGCCCUGUAAAUCAUGACAUUUGGGAUUUUGCUUUUUCCUCGAGUGCUAGCUAUUAAACAUCACCACAACACUGACGACAUAGUUUAAAGGCAGGUCCCACAUCUAACAAAUGUGUAUUUCUGGGAAUGGCCAACAUCUGAGUGGAACAUCAGCCACAGUGGAUGUUUGUUGCACUUUGCAAUGUAUUAAAAAGUAAGGGUAAGAUGGGAAUAAACAGGUCCAUCUCGUGCCAGAAUAGCAGGCACAAGAAAGCGCAUAUUCAGGCUUGGACUGGAGGAGGCAAAUGUUUCCCAACUCCAAACUGGGAAGGACAAAACCAAGAUUCAUUCUGAGAGACAAACGCUAAGAAAACCUGGUUUCAUGCAAGUGGUAAAUAGAGUAUACGUCCUUGAAGUCUUUGUUACAGUUUUCUGAAUAACUUAAAAGGAAAUCCAGUAAAUCCUUUGAUUUGGUCAAAAGUAUUCCACAAGAAACCAAGAAAAAAACCUAAAGCAUGUCUUUUCCCUCAAAGUCAAGAUUGUGUGUGCAUGCAUGUGUGAAUAUAUAUUCACACCUAUAUUCAUAUUGUGUCUGUUGCCAAAUGUAGGAGACUCUAAUAAACAAGUAAAAAAAAAAUCUGUGAAGUUUAAAAAAAAAAAAACUUAUGAUGCAAACAAAUCAGAAUUCUAUAAGGCCAGAAGUGGAAGAGAAAGAAGAGGAAAAGGCAGGGAGGGGGGAGGAUAUGGAGGAGGGGGAGGUGAUGGAGGAGGGGGAGGUGACGGAGCAGGGAAGAAGAUGGAGCUAGAAAGUGGUGAGUCUCCAAGACUGACAAUUGACUCUUGGGCAUCUUUCUCUGGGCAUGGGACGCCAUUCAAGAAGCAGCUCAAUCCAAGAUGAAGCAUAUUCUCUAGUCUCCACUGCACUUGGAGGGAAAGAGGAUUAUAUGGAAGGAAGAACCUCAGAAAGGGCAGAGUAAGGACCAUAAAGAGCAACGAACUACAGAGAUCCUCCUGGAAGAACCAGGGCUAAGCCAACACAUCCCUGGAGCAGCCAGCCUUGGAAUUUCAGAAUUGCUGUAAAUCCUUAAGCUCCAUGAGUCUUCUUUGCUUUCCAUUUUGAAACCAGAGUGGUUGCUUGUUGUCUCUCCCCACUGCUGUGCAUCAAGUGGGGGGAGGCACAUUACUCCUUUUAGUUCAAAGAUGUAUGACUGAAGAAGACCCACAUCUAAACCUAACAGAGAAAUCCUGUGGCUCUGCUCCACAAUUUACAAAUCACCACAAAUUACCCAAAGAAUUUGAGCUUUGAUUUGCUGUUAAGACUGGCUGGAACUUUUGCAUUUUCUAUCCUGGGAGGAGAGAGAAAAUACAUCGGUUGGAAGAAAUAAGCAAGCAAAUACUUGUGCCCGAAUAGUUGAAGUGUGAUUAUCUUGACUGAAGUCACUGUCCACGUCUAGUCACCUGCCUUUCACUCACAAGAAUAAUUAUCUGCCUGGCUUCCUUCUGGUUGGUGGGGGUAUUAAACCCAAUCUGGCAAAUGAGGCAUUAAUAAAACUAACACAAAUCGCUUCUGAAUCAGAACAUUUAGCAGGCUCUCCUAUCCAUCUAAAGGUCAUUUGCUCGUUUCCAUAACGACUGGAAAUGCCCCAGUCACUGAGGUCUCCCAAUGCCAGCACCCCAGAAUGCAAAUCUGUGGAGAAGAUCUUCUCUGUGGCAUGUAGGGAAGUAAAACAUGAGCAAGAAAUAAGUUUAGGGCCAGAAAGACGACUUAACAGGUAAAUGUACUUGUCACCAAGCCUGAGACCUGAGCUUGAAGAGAAAGGACUCUCACAAAUGAGUCCUCUGGCUUCCACACAUGCUGUGGCAUAUGCAUACGCACCUGGGAUGGACACACACAUUGAGUAAUACAUUAAAACUAAUCAAUAAAUGUAAAAAAAAAAAAACUAAAGAAAAUUUUAAGACAGUGAAAGUCAGGAGCAACUUAUGGCACACAUAUAAAUUCACAUCUCACAUCUCCAUACUGAUUUAUUGACUUACAUUAUCUUUCUGAAAUCUACCAAAACUGGUAAAACUUGAGCUUUUUUAUUUGCAUUCUAUUUCAUUGAAACGAGUGAAUCACUCAUCUCCAUUGUGUAGCAACAGAUUCUGCACAGAUUUAUUUCUCCUGUUAAGGAAAUGUGAGGGAGCAAAGGACACCCCUGCAGGAACCCAGGCUGCCAAGCGUGCCUGGCAGCUGCCAUCGGGUGCUUGGUGACUUACACAACCACUCUCCACUCUCAUCUCAUUUUACUAAUGAUUGUUGCUCUGUUCUCCUGAUCACUCAUGUCAAGUACUACAUAACUGAGAAUGAGCAUUUGAACUGUUCUUCUUUACCUAUCAUAGAUCAUUUUCCAAAGUCUGAUGUUUCCUAAUGUUGGUAACUUACUGCCUUCUCCUUGCUCUACAGUAUUUAUACACAAUGCCCAUAUUUUCUUCCUUUGUCUCUCUCAAAUACAAGGUAAUCACUGACCAUGGAAAAGGCUCAUAGAUUUUACUGGAUCAGUUCACUAUUGAUUUGUAUGUUCUUCGAUCAAAUUGUAUUCUAACUAAAAAGAGAACUGUCAUAUGACCCAGCUAAACAUUCCUGGUUUUACAUUCAAAAAGAGAAGGCCAGCCCAGCAUAAGAACCAAACAUAACUGGCAAUAAAAAAAGUCAAUGAAAUUAUUCCUAAGGCUGUUCUGCUAUACUCAUGGAUUGGUGCCUAGCCCAAUUGCCAUGAAAGAGGCUUCACCUAGCAACUGAUGGAAACAGAUGCAGAGAUUCACAGCCAAACAUUAGGCAGACCUCAGGGAAUCCUGUGAAAGAGAAGGGAAAGGAUGGUAGGAGCCAGAGGGGUCAAGGACACCACAAGAAAACCCAUGGAAUCAACUAACCUGUGCUGUGGGAUGGUCUGUAUGUCAAAUGUGUUGCUGAUUGGUCAAUAAAUAAAUCACUGAUUGGCAGUGGCCAGGCAGGAAGUAUAGGCGGGACUAACAGAGAGGAAAAUUGAGAGAACAGGAAGCUGGGUGGGAGAGACACUGCCAGCCGCCAUGAGGACAAGGAAGAUGUAAAGUACCGGUAAGCCACAAGCCACGUGGCAAGGUAUAGAUUAAUAGAAAUGGAUUAAUUUAAGCUGUAAGAAUAGUUAGCAAGAAGCCUGCCACGGCCAUACAGUUUGUAACCAAUAUAAGUGUCUGUGUUUACUUGAUCAGGUUUGAGCGGCUUGGGACUGGCGGGUGAGAGAGAUUUGUCCUGACUGUGGGCCAGGCAGGAAAUCUCAAGCUACAAAUGGCGCCCAACGUGGGGCAAGAGUUUCCACCUAAAAACUGAGAAAAAGGAUUCUAAAACGGAGCUAAAAACAGCUUCCUAAUUGUCUCUCUCAAAUGAGCGGCAGCUGCCGGUUUGAGCUACUGGCGGGUUGCUGGCGUGCGCGCUCGACCUGCAGUAUGGCGGGAAUGAGGCCUCUGCAAGUGGCACAUUAAGCUACAUUGUGGAUUUAGCCUUUGCUAGUACAAAACAAAAAAAAGAGGUUUCUGGGCUACACGCUGCUUGGAUAAAAGCAUAGACCCACGAUAGCUCCCGGAGCUGGUGGAAAACGCCAUGUUGGGAAGCUGAGGUGGGCGGAGCCAGCAGCCACAGCUGCUUCAGCUUAAAGCAACAGAUUCACAAUAAGACAGAUUCAGAUGUAAUAGUUUAAAAUGUGUGUAAAAUAUACGUAGGCUUAAAAGAGACAAAAAAAGGUGAUAUAUACAGUAUAGAAACAAAUACAUAGUUUUAAAAAAUAAAGUCUUUAAAGAGACAGUAAAAUUAAUAUAAAAAAUUAGCCACGUAGAGAUGACUAUUA